AACAUCCAACCCAAAACUGUCUCCUUGGCCCCAAUAACUAGCUUCAUUUAUAUUCAUCGUUAAAAUACUUAAUUCCUGGUGUUUCUUGGCCAUAGUUAGGCGUCAGAAACCGGUAAAUAUGAGGCUCUGAGUACGAUAAUUUGGCAACGGUGGACUGGUGCGAUGGUGUACGGGUUGCCAGAUUGUCGUACUCAGCCUCAAACAGACCAACUUCCAACCCAAAACUGUCCCCUUGGCCCCAAUAACUAGCUUCAUUUAUAUUCAUCGUUAAAAUACUUAAUUCCUGGUGUUUCUUGGCCAUAGUUAGGCGUCAGAAACCGGUAUAUAUGAGGCUCUGAGUACGAUAAUCUGGCAACGGUGACUAAGCAACUCUAAUUUCUACGCAUUUCGCCUUGAGUCGUGGUGGAGGACGGACGUGUUCUCUCGUGGUCAUCUCCUGCCCGUUAUUAAGAUACUGAAGGACUACUGAACUGACUAACUGAUGGGAAGCAUACAUCAGGGGGUGCAUUGCUUCACUCACUCCCCACCUCCACUCCGAAUGAUCUUCCCAAGCAAGCCUUCAAACAGAUGCUCUUUCCACUACAAGCCUCCACUCCCAAUGAUCUUCCCAAGCAAGCCUUCACACAGCUGCCCCUUCCACUACAAGCCUCCACUCCCAAUGAUCUUCCCAAGCAAGCCUCUCCACAGCUGCCCCUUCCACUACAAGCCUCCACUCCCAAUGAUCUUCCCAAGCAAGCCUUCACACAGCUGCCCCUUCCACUACAAGCCUCCACUCCCAAUGAUCUUCCCAAGCAAGCCUUCACACAGCUGCCCCUUCCACUACAAGCCUCCACUCCCAAUGAUCUUCCCAAGCAAGCCUCUCCACAGCUGCCCCUUCCACUCAAAGCCCCUCUCAGCAGGAUCAAUCAACUUGCUCCAGUCACUCAGGGUUGUCAUACAGGAUCAAUGUCCAGUCAGUGUUACCAGUGUCAUAAUAGGCAUACUUUUCUCGUCUGUUUGAGGCCUAAAACUGUCGAGCCUACACCGAUUCACAAUUAGAGUGUGGUUUAGUGA